CAGGCCUGUUAAAGCACUAGAAAAGCAGAAAAAGAAAGGGGAGCCAGGGAAGGGCGGACAAAUUGUGAAAUUUAAGGGAACACCAGAAAAACUGGUAAUCAAAUAAUAUUUGAAUGUAAUAUUUUAAAACAUAAAAAUUAAUGCAAGAAAUCCAGGAGGAACAAAACAAGAGUCAUGUGUAGCUUAACAACAGGGAAAGGCCUGAGGAAUGCGUCAUUAGGCGAUUUUGUUUCUGUGUGCACAACAUAGAAUGUACUUUCACAACCUAGAUGGUAAAGCUUGCUACACAGCUAGGCUGUGUGGUGUGGCCUGUUGCUUCCAGGCUGCAAACCUGAACAGCAUGGGACUGUACUGAAUAGCAGACCAUUGUAAUACAUGGUAAGUAUUUGUGUGUCUAAACAUACGUACACAUGGAAAAUGUACAGUACAAAUACAGUAUAAAAAAUUAAAAUGGUACACCCGUAUGGGGCACUUAGCAUAAAUGGAGCUUGCAGAACUGGAAAUUGCUGUGGGUGAGUGAGUGGUGACUGAACAUGAAGGCCUAGGACAUUACUGUACAUUACUGUAGACUACAAG